rnacentral:lncRNA from 1 species
CAGUACUUUCCCUCAUCAGGGCCCCACUUCUACCCUGAGGAAUGUACUUUUGCUUCUUUUGAUUUUAAUAAAUCUCACUUAUGUUACUCACUUUGAGUGUGUGUCUUGCUCCAUUUAUUGUGUAGGAUAUCAAGAACCUAGAAACAACUCCCUGAAAUCCUCCAUCUGAUAACACCAGGAUAGCAUCGGUAACCUUCCAGAAAUAACUGGAAAGACUGCAAGGGAUAUGGUCCUGCAUGAGCUGAGGCAUGAGGGAAGCCAGGUGCAUUCAUUUGUGGCACCUAACUGCACCUGGUGAGGGAAUCAAGGUUCCUGCAGGACAGAGAAGACUGGAGCAUGCUGGUAAGCUAACAGGGAGCAGUAGAGGGUGAGGUCAAAGCCAUGAAAAAGAGAAUUGCAGACAAAUGAGAAGAGCCUGAGAGACCGUGAGAAAGGGGUUGAAGGACAGCAGGGGUCUGUGUGCACUGAGAGGCCACGAGGUUGCUGGUGCUUAGUGAAGGUGGUUGUAGGAUUUCUCCCAAAAGCUCUCAGCCACCUAGGCAUACAGCCUCCCAGGUGGCUUGAUCUGGUGUCUGCUUAGUGAGUGGUGGACGGGAGUCGAAGAUGUCAGCAAGAACAGUUCAGAAAUAAUCAGAGGUCUCUAAGGUCAAGCUGAGAAGAGUGAAGUCCAGAGAGCCUGCAGGUAGGGAGAAAAUGUCUUGAUCAGGAAGUAGGAAUCAAGGCAAAGCCAAGGGGAAGGAGCAGCCAUGGGGACGGUGAACUUGAAC